CUACGGGUCGCUGCAGUGGGGAAUAUUGCGCAAUGGGCGAAAGCCUGACGCAGCAAUGCCGCAUGGGUGAGGAAGGUCUUCGGAUUGUAAAACCCUGUCAAUGUAGAAAAACGUCACAUGGUCCAAUAGGCCGUGUGAGUGAUGGUAUACACAGAGGAAGCACCGGCUAACUUCGUGCCAGCAGCCGCGGUAAUACGAAGGGUGCAAGCGUUGUUCGGAUGUAUUGGGCGUAAAGCGCGCGCAGGCGGAUUAAUAAGCCAGAUGUGAAAUCUCGGGGCUCAACCCCGAAACUGCGUCUGGAACUGUUGAUCUAGAAUCAUGGAGAGGAAAGGGGAAUUUCGCAUGUAGGGGUAAAAUCCGUAGAGAUGCGAAGGAACACCAGAGGCGAAGGCGCCUUUCUGGACAUGUAUUGACGCUGAGGCGCGAAAGCGUGGGGAGCAAACAGGAUUAGAUACCCCCGUAGUC
rnacentral:rRNA from 1 species